rnacentral:rRNA from 1 species
ACUAUCGUUAACUGAAUACAUAGGUUAACGAGGCGAACCGGGGGAACUGAAACAUCUAAGUACCCCGAGGAAAAGAAAUCAACCGAGAUUCCCCCAGUAGCGGCGAGCGAACGGGGAGCAGCCCAGAGUCUGAAUCAGCUUGUGUGUUAGUGGAACGGUCUGGAAAGUCCGACGGUACAGGGUGAUAGUCCCGUACACCAAAAUGCACAGGCUGUGAACUCGAAGAGUAGGGCGGGACACGUGGUAUCCUGUCUGAAUAUGGGGGGACCAUCCUCCAAGGCUAAAUACUCCUGACUGACCGAUAGUGAACCAGUACCGUGAGGGAAAGGCGAAAAGAACCCCGGCGAGGGGAGUGAAAAAGAACCUGAAACCGUGUACGUACAAGCAGUGGGAGCACCUUCGGGUGUGACUGCGUACCUUUUGUAUAAUGGGUCAGCGACUUAUAUUCUGUAGCAAGGUUAACCGUAUAGGGGAGCCGCAGGGAAACCGAGUCUUAACUGGGCGUUAAGUUGCAGGGUAUAGACCCGAAACCCGGUGAUCUAGCCAUGGGCAGGUUGAAGGUUGGGUAACACUAACUGGAGGACCGAACCGACUAAUGUUGAAAAAUUAGCGGAUGACUUGUGGCUGGGGGUGAAAGGCCAAUCAAACCGGGAGAUAGCUGGUUCUCCCCGAAAGCUAUUUAGGUAGCGCCUCGUGAAUUCAUCUUCGGGGGUAGAGCACUGUUUCGGCUAGGGGGUCAUCCCGACUUACCAACCCGAUGCAAACUACGAAUACCGAAGAAUGUUAUCACGGGAGACACACGGCGGGUGCUAACGUCCGUCGUGAAGAGGGAAACAACCCAGACCGCCAGCUAAGGUCCCAAAGUCAUGGUUAAGUGGGAAACGAUGUGGGAAGGCACAGACAGCCAGGAUGUUGGCUUAGAAGCAGCCAUCAUUUAAAGAAAGCGUAAUAGCUCACUGGUCGAGUCGGCCUGCGCGGAAGAUGUAACGGGGCUAAACCAUGCACCGAAGCUGCGGCAGCGACACUAUGUGUUGUUGGGUAGGGGAGCGUUCUGUAAGCCUGCGAAGGUGGCCUGUGAGGGUUGCUGGAGGUAUCAGAAGUGCGAAUGCUGACAUAAGUAACGAUAAAGCGGGUGAAAAGCCCGCUCGCCGGAAGACCAAGGGUUCCUGUCCAACGUUAAUCGGGGCAGGGUGAGUCGACCCCUAAGGCGAGGCCGAAAGGCGUAGUCGAUGGGAAACAGGUUAAUAUUCCUGUACUUGGUGUUACUGCGAAGGGGGGACGGAGAAGGCUAUGUUAGCCGGGCGACGGUUGUCCCGGUUUAAGCAUGUAGGCUGGUUAUCCAGGCAAAUCCGGAUAAUCAAGGCUGAGGUGUGAUGACGAGGCACUACGGUGCUGAAGUAACAAAUGCCCUGCUUCCAGGAAAAGCCUCUAAGCAUCAGGUAACAUCAAAUCGUACCCCAAACCGACACAGGUGGUCAGGUAGAGAAUACCAAGGCGCUUGAGAGAACUCGGGUGAAGGAACUAGGCAAAAUGGUGCCGUAACUUCGGGAGAAGGCACGCUGGUGUGUAGGUGAAGUCCCUGCGGAUGGAGCUGAGACCAGUCGAAGAUACCAGCUGGCUGCAACUGUUUAUUAAAAACACAGCACUGUGCAAACACGAAAGUGGACGUAUACGGUGUGACGCCUGCCCGGUGCCGGAAGGUUAAUUGAUGGGGUUAUCCGUAAGGAGAAGCUCUUGAUCGAAGCCCCGGUAAACGGCGGCCGUAACUAUAACGGUCCUAAGGUAGCGAAAUUCCUUGUCGGGUAAGUUCCGACCUGCACGAAUGGCGUAAUGAUGGCCAGGCUGUCUCCACCCGAGACUCAGUGAAAUUGAACUCGCUGUGAAGAUGCAGUGUACCCGCGGCAAGACGGAAAGACCCCGUGAACCUUUACUAUAGCUUGACACUGAACAUUGAGCCUUGAUGUGUAGGAUAGGUGGGAGGCUUUGAAGCGUGGACGCCAGUCUGCGUGGAGCCAACCUUGAAAUACCACCCUUUAAUGUUUGAUGUUCUAACGUUGGCCCCUGACCGGGGUUGCGGACAGUGUCUGGUGGGUAGUUUGACUGGGGCGGUCUCCUCCCAAAGCGUAACGGAGGAGCACGAAGGUUAGCUAAUCCUGGUCGGACAUCAGGAGGUUAGUGCAAUGGCAUAAGCUAGCUUGACUGCGAGCGUGACGGCGCGAGCAGGUGCGAAAGCAGGUCAUAGUGAUCCGGUGGUUCUGAAUGGAAGGGCCAUCGCUCAACGGAUAAAAGGUACUCCGGGGAUAACAGGCUGAUACCGCCCAAGAGUUCAUAUCGACGGCGGUGUUUGGCACCUCGAUGUCGGCUCAUCACAUCCUGGGGCUGAAGUAGGUCCCAAGGGUAUGGCUGUUCGCCAUUUAAAGUGGUACGCGAGCUGGGUUUAGAACGUCGUGAGACAGUUCGGUCCCUAUCUGCCGUGGGCGCUGGAGAAUUGAGGGGGGCUGCUCCUAGUACGAGAGGACCGGAGUGGACGCAUCACUGGUGUUCGGGUUGUCAUGCCAAUGGCACUGCCCGGUAGCUAAAUGCGGAAGAGAUAAGUGCUGAAAGCAUCUAAGCACGAAACUUGCCCCGAGAUGAGUUCUCCCUGAGACUUUAAGUCUCCUGAAGGAACGUUAAAGACGAUGACGUUGAUAGGCCGGGUGUGUAAGCGCAGCGAUGCGUUGAGCUAACCGGUACUAAUGAACCGUGAGGCUUAACC